rnacentral:rRNA from 1 species
CCUACGGGAGGCAGCAGUGAGGAAUAUUGGUCAAUGGUCGGGAGACUGAACCAGCCAAGCCGCGUGAGGGAGGAAGGUACAGAGUAUCGUAAACCUCUUUUGUCAGGGAACAAAGGCGGGGACGUGUCCCCGGAUGAGUGUACCUGAAGAACAAGCAUCGGCUAACUCCGUGCCAGCAGCCGCGGUAAUACGGAGGAUGCGAGCGUUAUCCGGCUUUAUUGGGUUUAAAGGGUGCGCAGGCGGUCUGUUAAGUCAGCGGUCAAAGCCCGGGGCUCAACCCCGGCCCGCCGUUGAAACUGGCAGUCUCGAGUUGGAGAGAAGUAUGCGGAAUGCGCGGUGUAGCGGUGAAAUGCAUAGAUAUUAGGAGGAACAUCAGGGGCGAAGGCGACUUACUGGACUGUAACUGACACUGAGGCACGAAAGCGUGGGGAGCAAACAGGAUUAGAUACCCCUGUAGUC